rnacentral:piRNA from 1 species
UAAAUACCACUCACAACCUGUCUCCUCAGC